rnacentral:misc_RNA from 1 species
CAGAGUUGCAAAACUCCCACAAACCAUCGCGAAUCUUACCCGUACGGUUGCCUCGGCGCUGGCGGUCCGGAAGGCCCUCGGGCCCCCCGGAUCCUCGGGUCUCCCGCUCGCGGGAGGCUGCCCGCCGGAGUGCCGAAACUAAACUCUUGAUAUCUUAUGUCUCUCUGAGUACACUUUUAAAUAAGUCA